rnacentral:rRNA from 1 species
GACGAACGCUGGCGGCGUGCCUAACACAUGCCAGUCGAACGGAAAGGCCUGCUUUCCCUUGUGGAUUGCGGGUACUCGAGUGGCGAACGGGUGAGUAACACGUGAGUGAUCUGCCCCCAACUUGGGUAUAAGCCUGGGAAACUGGGUCUAAUUCCCGAUAGGACUGCAGGGUGGUGCCUGUGGUGGAACACGAUUUUCUAGUGGUUGGGGAUGAGCUCGCGGCCUAUCAGCUUGUUGGGGGGGUAAUGGCCUACCAAGGCGGCGACGGGUAGCCGGCCUGAGGGGGUGGACGGCCACAUUGGGACUGAGAUGCGGCCCAGACUCCUACGGGAGGCAGCAGUGGGGAAUAUUGCACAAUGGGCGGAAGCCUGAUGCAGCGACGCCGCGUGGGGGAUGACGGCCUUCGGGUUGUAAACUCCUUUCGACCGCGAGGAAGCCACCUGGUUGGAAGGGUGGUGACGGUAGUGGUAGAAGAAGCACCGGCUAACUACGUG